GGUGAACGCUAGCGGUGCGCCUAACACAUGCAAGUCGAGCGGUAGAAUUGAUAGCUUGCUAUUAAUUUGAGAGCGGCGAACGGGUGAGUAACAUGUUGAAAUUCUGCCCCCAAGUCAGGGAUAGCCAUUGGAAACGAUGAUUAAUACCGGAUGUGCUCUACGGAGUAAAGAUUUAUCGCUUGGGGAGGAGUCUACAUUCUAUCAGCUAGUUGGUAAGGUAAAAGCUUACCAAGGCAAUGACGGAUAGCUGGUCUGAGAGGAUGAUCAGCCACAAUGAAACUGAGACACGGUUCAU
rnacentral:rRNA from 1 species